CGGGGAAGGGACCGACAGCUGCCCCGGGCCUGGGGCUGGGGCUGGGGCUGGGGCUGACGGGUCGGAAGAGACAGCUGGGGCGGGAAGCCGGACGGGCUGAUCCUCUGCCCCCAGGCCGCACCCCAGGAAUGACUUGGCAGAAUAGCUGUCGCCUGUGACAAGCUGCCAGACCGCUCUUGGCGUUACAUUUUUUCUUUAAUUAAAUUUUUCUUUAUUCAUCAGAGAGAGAGAGAGAGGGAGAGAGAGAGAGAGAGAGAGAGAGAGAGAGAUCCCUUGCUGAAGCCUGGUCCAGGGGACUCAAGCCAGGUGUAUGGCAGCAAUCCAAUCGCCCACCACUAGCGCCAUCGCUGCCUCCCAGGGUCUGCGUGAGCCAGAAGCUGGAGUUGGAACCGGAGGCAGGGUGAAGUUUUGGAGAAUUUGGGGCAGCUUGGUCCUGCAAGAGCCUUCCUCACAAUGCCGCUGUUUGCCUUCAACACUCCACUCACCCCCAUAUGUGCUGUCUCAUGGCUUUGCACCUGCUUGAUGUGGGAGCAAACUUCAUGGUGAGGAGAGAAUGUGAGAGUUUUACUGUCUGAAAGACCACAUGCACGUGUGGGCUAAACCUGGGGCUUUGGCUUGGGUUCUGUGGACCAGCUGUGUGUCAGUCAUCCAAGCGGUUUGUGUGGACACGACCCUGCCAGGAAGGGCAAGUGCCGCCACCGACAUUCCACUCACUCGUGGAGGAAUCUGCAGUUUGCAAGCAAACGGGGCGUUGAAUGCAGGAGCCUGGGGGUUCUUCUGAAAAUGCUGCCCGGCAGGCGGGGGUGUGGCCUUUUGCAUCUCUUGGGUUGAUUUUCCUACAGGGUUUCAGGAUCUUCAGAGCGCUGAAGCUCUCUGACCGCAAGGCAAGUGCUCAAGCUGCCCGCUGCUCUGCCGGUUUCAGAGGCCUUGGGCCAGGGCCCUGCCUUUGGAGAACUGUGGAUCUGCCCCGAAGCCAGGGCUGCGUGCUGGGGUGCUGGGGUGCUGGGGUGCUGGGGACUGCCUUUUGUUUGAACGUUUCCCCUUCCAAGGUCACUGGGCUUCAGGAAAAGCACUUUUCAGGGAAUCAAGGGAGGCGUGGGGAGCCCUUUAUGGAGGUGAAAUGUACCGGAAAUAGUA